GACGAACGCUGGCGGCGUGCCUAAUACAUGCAAGUAGAACGCAGUUGCGAAGGGGUGAGUAACGCGUAGGUAACUGCCUGGACGCGGCGGAUAACUAGUGGAAACGAUAGGUAAUACCGGAUACAAUCCAUCGGUACUGCAUUGUAUUAGCUAGUUGGUGGGGUAACGGCUCACCAAGGCAACGAUACAUAGCCGACCUGAGAGGGUGAUCGGCCACACUGGGACUGAGACACGGCCCAGACUCCUACGGGAGGCAGCAGUAGGGAAUCUUCGGCAAUGGACGGAAGUCUGACCGAGCAACGCCGCGUGAGUGAAGAAGGUUUUCGGAUCGUAAAGCUCUGUUGUAAGGGAAGCGGUAUCUAACCAGAAAGGGACGGCUAACUACGUGCCAGCAGCCGCGGUAAUUC
rnacentral:rRNA from 1 species